GACGAACGCUGGCGGCGUGCUUAACACAUGCAAGUCGAACGGAAAGGCCCCUUCGGGGGUACUCGAGUGGCGAACAGGUGAGUAACACGUGAGUAACCUGCCCUUGACUUCGGGAUAACUUCAGGAAACUGGGGCUAAUACCGGAUAGGAAUCCUUGCUGCAUGGUGGGGGUUGGAAAGCUUCGGCGGUUUUGGAUGGACUCGCGGCUUAUCAGCUUGUUGGUGGGGUAGUGGCUUACCAAGGCUUUGACGGGUAGCCGGCCUGAGAGGGCGACCGGCCACAUUGGGACUGAGAUACGGCCCAGACUACUACGGGAGGCAGCAGGGGGGAAUAUUGCACAAUGGGCGGAAGCCUGAUGCAGCAACGCCGCGGGCGGGAUGACGGCCUUCGGGUUGUAAACCGAUUUCAGCAGGGGCGAAGCUUGUGGUGACGGUACCUGCAGAAGAAGCACAGGCUAACUACGUA
rnacentral:rRNA from 1 species